UGUACACACCGCCCGUCACACCAUGGGAGCGGGUUCUGCCAGAAGUAGUUAGCCUAACCGUAAGGAGGGCGAUUACCACGGCAGGGUUCGUGACUGGGGUGAAGUCGUAACAAGGUAGCCGUAUCGGAAGGUGCGGCUGGAUCACCUCCUUUCUGGAAAUAUGCAGUCAAAUUCUUACGCCCAUUCUUAUCGGCUGUUGUGUCAAACAACAGCAAUGUCACCGAGUUAAUUCAAGUUAAUUAGCAUUAAUUGGUGCCGCCUUCGAGUUUAUUAAUGAGAGGGUCUGUAGCUCAGCUGGUUAGAGCAUCGUCUUGAUAAGGCGGGGGUCGUUGGUUCGAGUCCAACCAGACCCACCAAUUGGGCUUAGGUGGAGAGCGAGAAGCGAAAAAGAAAUCCCGGGGGAUUAGCUCAGCUGGGAGAGCACCUGCUUUGCAAGCAGGGGGUCGACGGUUCGAUCCCGUCAUCCUCCACCAAAAUAUUCAGCAGAUUGAUUAAUUCAGUUUGUUGAAAAACUUAUCAGAAGCAAAUUAAAUUAAUGCAAAGCAUGUUCGCGACAAGUCGCGAGGAUGCUUUGUAUUGAUUGAUUCAUUUCAAUUAUUGGCUGUUCUUUAAAAAUUUAUAGAGUUAAAUUAGCGUCGUUAGCGGAAACUGCACAUUCGUAAAGGUUUAGUGCAGACCGUGCCGCUAGCGACAUAGUAGUAAAUAAUUUUUUGAUUGCGUCAAAAGAAACUUUUAAUUUCGAUAGUAAUUUAUUGAAUAAUUGGAAGAUACGGCAUAACGCGUGUGGUGUAAGACCACACAAUCAUUCCUUGAAGAUAACUGAAGAGAAAUCAAAGUUAUAGGGUCAAGCGAAUAAGAGCAUAUGGUGGAUGCCUAGGCAAUGAUAGGCGACGAAAGACGUGAUAGCCUGCGAUAAGCUUCGGGGAGCUGGCAAAUUAGCUUUGAUCCGGAGAUUUCUGAAUGGGGAAACCCACCCUUCGGGGUAACGCUGACUGAAUACAUAGGUCUGCGUGGCGAACCGGGUGAACUGAAACAUCUCAGUAGCUCGAGGAAAAGACAUCAACCGAGAUUCCGAGAGUAGUGGCGAGCGAAA
rnacentral:misc_RNA from 1 species